AAAGAAAGAACGGACCUCGGUCCUUGUGCAAAGCUUCCACUGGUCCUGUCCCAGGCCGAUCUUGAAGAGGGUCGCGGCAACACCCAUGUCCCGUUCCAAGCCUCGCUGUGUAAGUAGGAAACCACACUGACAACAUAGAUAGGCCAUUAGCAUGCCCUCAAAACAACGUACAAAACUUUUAUAGUCUGAAUGAUUUUAAUUACAGAAAUAUGUUUAUGAAUUUGUCUUUUUUAAUUUUAAUUUUCUUUAACAUUAAUUUAUUUCAAAGAUGUGAAACCUUCCCCUGGAAAAAUAAUUUCUGCAGACUUCAGAUUUUAUAAUUUGUUGGUUUUUCUGUCUCAGGUCCGAGUGUAGCAGUACAGCCUCGUCCAGAACCAGGAUAAGUCCACUCCUCGGCUGUUACUGAGGAAGGUCACCGAUGUUCGGCCCUCCACGUUUCUCCUCCCCCAAGCUCAACCAGGUAAGUCACUCUCACUCCUCUUCUGUCUCUCCCUCUUUCUUUCCCUCUCCUCCUGUCUCUCAAAGAAAAAAAGAAAAAAGAAAGAAAAAAGAAAGAAAAAAAGAAAGAAAAAAAAGAAAGAAAGAAA
rnacentral:lncRNA from 1 species